GAUAAGACUUAUCAAGAUUUUGAUGAGUUGAUUCAGGAAGCUACAGAGUUGGUUUGUGAAGAUACCCAAAUGGGAAAAAUCAAUUCUUUUGAGGACCCAAUGGUUGAAAUUGGAAAAAAGGAUGAGGUUUUGAAGAAGGGUUUGGUUACAAGUGGUGAAUUGAUUAAUGUUUCUUCUUCAGGGAUCAAGCACAAAGAGAAGUACAGCUUGAUGAAAGUAGCUGCCCUAAUUGAAAAUGCCGCCAAAACUCGAG
rnacentral:misc_RNA from 1 species